rnacentral:rRNA from 1 species
UACGUAGGUGGCAAGCGUUGUCCGGAUUUACUGGGUGUAAAGGGCGCGUAGGCGGGUCUACAAGUCAGAUGUGAAAUCCCGGGGCUUAACCCCGGAGCUGCAUCUGAAACUGCAGAUCUUGAGUACUGGAGAGGAAAGUGGAAUUCCUAGUGUAGCGGUGAAAUGCGUAGAUAUUAGGAGGAACACCGGUGGCGAAGGCGGCUUUCUGGACAGUAACUGACGCUGAGGCGCGAAAGCGUGGGGAG